UCCGAAGGGGGCUAGCGUUGCUCGGAAUCACUGGGCGUAAAGGGUGCGUAGGCGGGUCUUUAAGUCAGGGGUGAAAUCCUGGAGCUCAACUCCAGAACUGCCUUUGAUACUGAGGAUCUUGAGUUCGGGAGAGGUGAGUGGAACUGCGAGCGUAGAGGUGAAAUUCGUAGAUAUUCGCAAGAACACCAGUGGCGAAGGCGGCUCACUGGCCCGAUACUGACGCUGAGGCACGAAAGCGUGGGGAGCAAACAGG
rnacentral:rRNA from 1 species